rnacentral:lncRNA from 1 species
AUCAGAGAUAGCGACCGAAGAUGCUCAUAUUUUAUACUUUCUGAUACCAACAUUUCUUUCAACUUUUCCAACUGACUAGAUCGUGAUGCAAUUAUGCCUAAUUUUUUCAGAUUGGGUAGCCGAACAAGAUCAUUCAAAUUACAUUUCUCAAUUCUAACAUUGACCAACGUCUGCAAAUUGCACAGCUUUGCAAAUGACAGUUUCCGACCGCUUACAGUGUGCUCCGCAGGUAAAUAUAAAUGCCUCAGUUGCUCCAUAUUCAAAAAUACAUUUGUGAUUUUGAUUAUCCUCCAUCCAUAUUUGAAAUGGCCACGCAGAUCUAGAGUCUGCAAAAGUAUCAGCUUAUAUACAGAUGAUGGCAACGCACGAAAUUCGCUAUCCCUCAGACUUAGAAACCUCAAGUGGACUAGGUUCCCAAUCGUCU